GAACCCCCUACGGCAAAUUUCCAACUCCCGUAACUCCUCCGUCUGAGCUCCAAUCGCCGCACCGUUUGCGACCACGCGUUCACCGCAUUGAACUCUACGUUUCUACCGGUACAAUUUCAUAGGAUCCAAUUAACUUGAGAAAAACGUUCACUCUUGCUUAUGUGAAGCUUGGGUAAGGUUGUGAAUAAAUAAUUGGAGCUUGGAAUUGUGAAUAUUGGAACUUGGAAGAAGUUGAUUAGUUGAAUUUUGAAGGGGCUUCCUUGGUUUUAAAUAAUUUUCUUUGGUCGUUACGUGAAAAUCGGCCAAGGUAUGGUUUAUGUUUCUUGCAUUUAAUAUAUAAUGUUCUGUGAAAACUUAGGCUAGAUGACC